GCAUCCGCAGCCAUCCCAGGAAGCUCCUUGGGAACCAUCCAGCGAGCCCCUUCUUGUGUCACCUGCCGGUUAAACGAGCCCAGAGGCGCACGCGGCAAAGGAGUUGGUGUAUGAUGGCGAGCCGCGUUCGUUAACCAAGGCUCACCCGGAGAUAGACCAAUAUCCAGUCUAUUCAACUUACGUUAUCCAUAAAAUGGCGCAUUCCCACAAUCCGGGAUUGGCCAUGCAAAUCCACCUCCAGACCAAUCUCUCCCAUGCCCUCUGAACAGUUGAACGGAUUUAAGUGGCCCAUACCAGACAGGAAAUAGCUACGGUUUCCUGUUUGGCUCAGAGUGCACCUCCUCCUAAACACGGUAGGGCCAACAUCUGCUUCCUUCUGUUUCCAGGCACCUGCCUCGAUCCUUUUAUUAAAAUGCUUUCAUGUCUAACUAAUUCUCCUCUGUUUACUGUUCCCUUUCUUCUAUUGCGACUGGCGGGCAUGCAGAUGUGCCAUCUAGUGCCACCUGCCAGGUGAUUGCGAUGCACGAUUCGUAAAGGGAUGCUUGAUCACAUCCAAGGGCUAAUUGGCAGUGAGAGCUGCUGGAAAUCGCAGGAGAAGGGAAUCAUUGAUUGUGCUGUAAUCUUACUGGAAUUGGAGGCAGGAGCUUUAAAUCACCCAGAAAUGGAGGAGCUGUCUUUUGUGUGACACCUCUGGGCUCAUACGAGCUCCACUCUGUGCGGACGUGCAGCUGCUGAAGUAGGAGUGCGGCUGGAGUGAGGCCCUCGCCAUCUCUUUAUCAAAGCUGAUUUGCAUGAUACAAAUUGUCCUACGUUUUUGGUUCAUCUUCUACUAUUUUCUAGAGGGCCCAGUACAGAAAUGCCACAUCCGUGUUCCACGGAAACCCACUUCAUUGUUAAUCAUUUCAUUUUGAUUUUGCGACGACACCGGCAAAAGUUGUGUGUUUACGCUCUUGGAAGCUUUCUGAACAGGAUAUUUCUCAGUGA